rnacentral:rRNA from 1 species
CACGCCCUAAACGAUGAUUACUCGACAUACGCGAUACACAGUGUGUGUCUGAGCGAAAGCAUUAAGUAAUCCACCUGGGAAGUACNUACGCGAGGAACCUUACCUGGGCUAGAAUGCCACUUGACCGGUCCUGAAAGGGAUUUUUGUAGCAAUACACAGGUGGUAAGGUGC